GCCAGUGUUGCUCAGUGAUUAGAGCGUUGGCCCAUGCACCAAAGGUUCCAGGUUUCAAUUCCUGGCCAAGGGCA
rnacentral:tRNA from 1 species